rnacentral:snRNA from 1 species
GACAAUUCUCGAUAGAUCAGUGUGUAGUAUCUGUUCUUCUCAGCUUGAUCGCCGAGAGCCUUCCAUGGGAAGGCAGCUCCGUUCGCUAUUUUUUGAGUUCUUGGUGGGUUUCCUCUGUGCAUGCAUGCACAUGAGACCCUCCACUGCGUCCCUGGUAUUUCACUGCCUCCAGGUGAUGCGAAAGAAG